rnacentral:tRNA from 1 species
UAAAGCCCGUAGAAUUUAAACUACAUCAUCUGAAUGCAACCCAGAUACUUUAAUUAAGCUAGAACUUA